rnacentral:lncRNA from 1 species
ACCCUAGUCGCCCCUCCCUCUUCCUCUCUUCUCUUCAAUUUCUUUUAUUCUUUUCCUCUUGUUGCCGCCGCCCAAACCACCUAGAACCACCACCUCCUUUUUCUUGUCUUUUACCACAAGAUCUUGCACCAUUCUCUCUCCUUCUUUCUUUUCAUUCUCCCUAUUUCUGCCCAACAAGUGCCAUUGUCACCCCUCUCUUUUACCUUGUGUAAGUGCCUCUUUUCCUUAAUUUUCUUGAUGAAUCUUUCAAGGGAAUACCCAAAUUUCAAGAUCUAGAAUUGGGAGAAAUUUUAAUCAUUUUACGAGUAUUUUUAUAGCCUUUAAAAUUAUUUUUAAUUGGCUUUUUAAAACAACCCUGAUUUGCCACCGUUGGUGGUAGUGCGCCGCGCCUAGAGGCACAAAAAGGGGGCUGCCAUUUUAUUUAAUUUUUCCCAUAUCUUGCUAGAAAUAUUUUGGUCCCAAGAACCCUUUCUAUUCAACCUUUAAUCAUAUAUUUCUUAUGAAAAUUCAAUCUUGACCAUUCGACAAUUUAGAUCUGACAAUUCGGGAACGUAAGUGUGGUAGUUUGUCAGCUAGUGGAUAGUUUCGACUUAAUUGUUGGGGAAAUUGAUAAUUUAUUGGAUUAAUUAAUUUUAUGAUUAUAUAGAUACUAAUUUUUCAGUAUUUAAUGGUGCUAGUUGCCGAUCCAAACUCCCCAAAUCAACAGCGCCCAUGCUUCACAUCAAACCAGUGUAAGAGACCAAGUUAAUUUGGACUCGAAAAAUUGUUAUAAACAUGUUGUUUGAUUUGAACCCAUAAGAGGGUGUUUUAGGGCUGAUUAAAAGAUGUAUUAAUUCAAUAAAAUAUUUAUUUUUCAUUUAGGCUUGAUUUUAGGUCUUAAAGAGAAACUGAGGUUUUGCCAGUGUGUCGCAAUAGUGCAAAAAAAAAGGUUCGGGUCCUAACUUGUUAAAAUUGAAUGUUUUCGAUUAUAUGAUCUAAAUCUAGAUUAAGCUUGUUGGUUGGGCUUAGUUAAUUGACUAAGUGAAUGUGUUAAAGUGGCUAAAUGGCAUGUUUGUAAAAUUGUUUGGUUGACAGAAUAGUUAAUUAUUUGAUAUUGGUAUGAAUGGUUUGUUGAUAUGAUGUGUGAUUGAUUGUAUGUAUAGCAUGUAUUAUUUUGGAAACUGGUACUGAAUGCCUAAAACCUUGUUGGAUAAAAUGCCAUGAAUAGUAUUGAAUGGAAAAUCUGUUAUACAUGCAUUGGAAAUAUUUUUCCCGAAGUGUUAAUGAUUGAUUACAUGAUUAAAUGUCAUCGUACUGAUGGUGAAACUGAACGAUUGAUAUGUGAAAGUUAUAAUGAUGGUAUGUAAUCUAUACUACUGAAGGAAUACGUAUGAAAUGUGCAUUUGAUUGAAAUAUUGUAUGACAUAUCGCAUGUGCAUGGGGUGGGAUAUUGUGGUUCAUAUAGGAGUUCUGUGCAGUUCUAGCGGCAUAUUGAGUCCGCAUUUAUAUGCAGUUAAUGCAAUGCAUCGGGAGUACUACGGAGAUUUGCGAUUUUAUCGCAUUAUUUGUAAAAUGGAACAAUAUCUGCAUUAUGUUUAUAUGGUGGUUUUGUAACACCCUAAAAUAGGGCCUAGGAGUUUUAGGGGUAUUUUAGGGAUUUUACCCUUAGAGUGUUUGGAAUUUUGUGACAUGGUUUAUCGGUAAUAUUUUUAACUGUGGUUUUUAGAAAAUUAAAUCAAUUUCUGAAAAUGAGUUUUAAAUACCUUCAAUUUUGGAAAUUUGAUUAAUUUGUAAAAGAGUCAAAAUUGUGAGUUUUUAAGAGGCUAUUAAACCAAAUUUUAGAAUUCACCCUAUAUCUUCCCCCACCUAGUUUAUUUUCACGUAAAAGCUUCCCCUUUGUUUUGUGUUUGUCGUCCAUUUGCUCUCCCAACUCUCCCAAAUGAUUUUAAAUUCCAACUCCUAAUCCCUCUUGAUUUCCAUCAUUCCCCAAGUAUUAAACCUCCAUAAAUCUUCAAGAAAAAUACCCAAAAACACCAUAGUUUUCUCCAUUAUCAAGCUUGUGAGUUUUUCAGGUUUUCGAUCAAACAUUUUGUUGUUCAUCAACUAAGGUAAAGAUUCAUCUUCCCAUUAGUUUUAAAUGUUAUUUUGUCAUUGAAACUAAGUUUUUAGCUAUUAAAUCGCAUGUUUUGAAUAAAAGUCAAAAUUUGGCUCGUUAAUGGUGGAUUUUAAGAUUUUGGGUAAAAAUGUGGUUUCAAAGUGCUUUUCAACUAUUUAUGACAUGAUUAAGAGGUUUCUAAACUUAAUUUGAAGUUUUGUUAUAGAUUUCUUGAGUUUUAAUGAAUUUUUGGGAAAUAGCCAAAACAUGUCGAAAAACUCAAUAUCAUGAAUUGAGUAGUUUUAUGUAGUUUAAAGGUGGAGAAUUAGUUGCAGGAGAAUUAGAAGAUGAAUAGAAUUGUUUUUAGGCAAAAAUAUUGAGUAUAGACCGAGAUAUUUGAGUUUUAAGUUGGUUAUGUUAAAGGUUUCGAUUACAUGGGAACAUAGCUUAGGCUUAUGUUUUUGAUUGCUUGUGGUGAGUCCUUAGUUGAUUUUGGAAUGUAUUGUUGUGUGAGUUAUUGUGUUGAAGUUUUAGAUUCAUUAGUACCUUCUAUGAGUAGAGAUAAAGGCAAGGAAAAGCUAGUUUGAGCUUUUGGCUUUUCGGCAAAAACGUAUUGGUGAGUGUUUGGAAUAAUUGCUUGUGGACAUGAUUUAAUGUGUUAUUUGGGAAUUUAGUGAUAGCCUAAACCUCUACUCUAAAUUUUGAGUGUAUGCUUUCUUAUAUCUAUGUUAUCUUGUGAACUAUGUGCUUAUGUGUUUGUGAAUGUGUGAAUUGAGAUGAGAUGCUAUAACAUGUGAUAUGUGGUUAUGAUAACUGCUGUGAAAGUGCAAGUGUGCACAUGAUAUGUAUAUGUUGAAUGUUAGUGAUAGUGUUUUGCUAAAGAUGCAAAUAUGUAGUGAUAGUGCAAAUAUGUAGUGAUAUUGCAUGGACAAUUGCUAAGUGAUGUGUGUUUGAUUUCAGAUAUUUUGGCCUUAUGAUCUUGAAACCGUUAGAUAUAAUUGGCAUGCCAUAGGAUUGUAAGUACUCAACUAUAUUUCGGAUAUUUUGGCCUUAUGAUCUUGAAACCGUUAGAUAUUUUGGGCGUUGAGGCCCAAGGACAUGUUGGACAGAUAAGGGAAUGUGAGCUAAGCUCCAUUCAACGAGACAUGUGAGGGGAAAUAAGGAGAGUGUUAGCUUUAUACUUCACUUUUGGGACAUGUUUGACUCUACGAGUCUAUGUGGUGUGUUGGAGAUCUAUGUAUCCGAUGAGUGAUGAUAGAGCUCACCUUUAUGUUUCAUAGCUCAAGUGCAAAAUUAUCUUAAACUAUGAAUAUGUGUGUAUUGUGAUAUGUGUUUAUAUGACAUGCGACCAUUAUGCAACUGAUCUAUAAAGAUGUUUUUGAAUAUUAGGAUAUAUGCUUAAAUGUUUUGUGAUUAUUUGAGUACUGUGAUAUAUGCCUCUAUGUUAGGUAAUUAUAUGUGUAAUAUGAUAUAUGAUAAAAAUUGAAUAUAUUUACCAUGUAAAAGAACUAGAAAAUAAUGCAAAGGUAAGUAUAUUAUGAAACUAAAGUUGGAACUGUUGAGGUUGUGCUAUAUGGUUGUUUCGUUAAUGCUUGAUCAAUUGUUUGCAUAGUAGUUGUUCUAGGCUUUCACUAAGCUUGAUGACAUGUGGUUUCCAAUUGGGUGAUCCAAGCAAGUCCAUUUCACUUUUCGUAGGUGUUAUUAUUAUUUGUUUUCAUUUUGGGAAUAAAACAAUGUGGUAGACUUUUAUUGAUAUUUGUCAUGAUGUUUUGGAAGUUCCAUAAAUUAAUUCCUCUUAAAAUUUUGAAAAUUGAAUUGUAUUAUGCCGAUUAUCAUUUGAACUUAGUUUCAAUGUUUAAGACUGUUAUUAUGGCCAUUUUGAUGUUUAUUUGAUGAUGGUAUGAUAGCAUGGUGAAUUAGUACAAGUUGGAAUGAUUUUUAUUAUUUUCCUAGUCUAAAGCAGAGUAUCGAUAUUGGUAUUGAAAAAACGAUGCCUCUGUGAUUUUCAAAUGUGUAGGAAGUAUGAACCAUAAUUUGGUAUCGACACCCGAUCAUGAGUAUCGAUACUCGAGGUAAUUUUAUCGAUACUUUUUUAAUUGUACCAAUAUUUUCUAAGACUUUGAUUUUAAACAAGAAACAAAAUACUAAUUUGGAACUGAUUUUGCAAAUGGUAUCGAUGUUGUACUAGGAAAAUAUCGAUACCCUUAUCAUAGUAUCGAUACCUACGAGGUUGUAUUGGAAAUUUUGCUAAGUGGUCCUAAUGCAUGUUUAAUUAUUAUUAUAAGUUUAUUUAAAGUAUGUUUGGCAUGUUCUAAUGAUGAUUGAUAUAUGUUUGACUAAGAAUUUAUAAGAUCACUAAUAAAGAGGAUGAUUUCUUAAUAAUGUGACAAUUUACUAUAAGUAUGACAUGAGAAAGUGGUGUGGCAUCCUAAUCUUCGGGCUUGGCGACUAGGCCGGGUGUAGGGUGUAACAUGUUUAACCACAUUGAGUUUUGCUAGCACUGUUUGGAGUUUGACAGACAAGUUUUGGGGAACUCGUGAUGUGUAGCAGAUGGUUAGGGUAGGAAUUCAUUCUUGCAUUAUGAUAUGUCCAUAACUUAUUAUAUUAUUGAUAUGGUUGCUAUAAAUAUGUUACAUGGAUUUUUUGUGUGAUUGACCUUAACGAUUGUUGAAUGUGCUUAUUGAUUAGACUCACAUUGAGCUAGUUAGCUCACCUCGUUACUUCAAAACUCUCAGGUAAUGAACGAGACUAGGAUCGGACAUGACAUCCGGAC